AGUGAACGCUGGCGGUAGGCCUAACACAUGCAAGUCGAACGGCAGCACAGUAAGAGCUUGCUCUUACGGGUGGCGAGUGGCGGACGGGUGAGGAAUACAUCGGAAUCUACUUUUUCGUGGGGGAUAACGUAGGGAAACUUACGCUAAUACCGCAUACGACCUACGGGUGAAAGCAGGGGAUCUUCGGACCUUGCGCGAUUGAAUGAGCCGAUGUCGGAUUAGCUAGUUGGCGGGGUAAAGGCCCACCAAGGCGACGAUCCGUAGCUGGUCUGAGAGGAUGAUCAGCCACACUGGAACUGAGACACGGUCCAGACUCCUACGGGAGGCAGCAGUGGGGAAUAUUGGACAAUGGGCGCAAGCCUGAUCCAGCCAUACCGCGUGGGUGAAGAAGGCCUCGGGGUUGUAAAGCCCUUUUGUUGGGAAAGAAAAGCAGCAGGUUAAUACCCCGCUGUUCUGACGGUACCCAAAGAAUAAGCACCGGCUAACUUCGUG
rnacentral:rRNA from 1 species